rnacentral:rRNA from 1 species
CGCGAAGAACCUUACCAGCUCUUGUCAUUCGGGGUAUGGGCAUUGGAGACGAUGUCCUUCAGUUAGGCUGGCCCCAGAACAGGUGCUGCAUGGCUGUCGUCAGCUCGUGUCGUGAGAUGUUGGGUUAAGUCCCGCAACGAGCGCAACCCUCGCCCUUAGUUGCCAGCAUUGAGUUGGGCACUCUAAGGGGACUGCCGGUGAUAAGCCGAGAGGAAGGUGGGGAUGACGUCAAGUCCUCAUGGCCCUUACGGGCUGGGCUACACACGUGCUACAAUGGUGGUGACAGUGGGCAGCGAGACAGCGAUGUCGAGCUAAUCUCCAAAAGCCAUCUCAGUUUGGCCUGCACUCUGCAACUCGAGUGCAUGAAGUUUUGAAUCGCUAGAGAAUCGCAGAUCAGCAU